rnacentral:rRNA from 1 species
CGCGUGCACUGGUCCGGCCGGGCCUUUCCUUCUGUGGAACCCCAUGCCCUUCACUGGGUGUGGCGGGGAGACAGGACUUUUACUUUGAAAAAAUUAGAGUGCUCCAGGCAGGCCUAUGCUCGAAUACAUUAGCAUGGAAUAAUAAAAUAGGACGUGUGGUUCUAUUUUGUUGGUUUCUAGGACCGCCGUAAUGAUUAAUAGGGACAGUCGGGGGCAUCAGUAUUCAGUUGUCAGAGGUGAAAUUCUUAGAUCUACUGAAGACUAACUACUGCGAAAGCAUUUGCCAAGGAUGUUUUCAUUAAUCAGGAACGAAAGUUAGGGGAUCGAAGACGAUCAGAUACCGUCGUAGUCUUAACCAUAAACUAUGCCGACUAGGGAUCGGACGAUGUUAUUUUUUGACUCGUCCGGCACCUUACGAGAAAUCAAAGUGCUUGGGCUCCAGGGGGAGUAUGGUCGCAAGGCUGAAACUUAAAGAAAUUGACGGAAGGGCACCACCAGGGGUGGAGCCUGCGGCUUAAUUUGACUCAACACGGGGAAACUCACCAGGUCCAGACACAAUAAGGAUUGACAGAUUGAGAGCUCUUUCUUGAUUUUGUGGGUGGUGGUGCAUGGCCGUUCUUAGUUGGUGGAGUGAUUUGUCUGCUUAAUUGCGAUAACGAACGAGACCUUAACCUGCUAACUAGCCCGUAUUGCUCAGGCAGUACGCCGGCUUCUUAGAGGGACUAUCGG